UAAUACGAAGGGGGCUAGCGUUGUUCGGAAUCAUUGGGCGUAAAGCGUAUGUAGGCGGAUCAAAAAGUUAGAUGUGAAAUCCCUGGGCUUAACCCAGGAACUGCGUUUAAAACUAGUGAUCUAGAAUUUGGUAGGGGUUAGUAGAAUUUCCAGUGUAGAGGUGAAAUUCGUAGAUAUUGGAAAGAAUACCAGUGGCGAAGGCGACUAACUGGGCCAUUUUUGACGCUGAGAUACGAAAGCGUGGGUAGCAAACAGGAUUAGAUACCCUGGUAGUCCACGCAGUAAACGAUGAGUGCUAGUCGCUGGGACAUUAGUUUCAGUGUCGACGCUAACGCAUUAAGCACUCCGCCUGGGAAGUACGGUCGCAAGAUUA
rnacentral:rRNA from 1 species